rnacentral:rRNA from 1 species
UUGAACGCUGGCGGCAGGCCUAACACAUGCAAGUCGAACGGUAACAGGAAGAAGCUUGCUUCUUUGCUGACGAGUGGCGGACGGGUGAGUAAUGUCUGGGAAACUGCCUGAUGGAGGGGGAUAACUACUGGAAACGGUAGCUAAUACCGCAUAACGUCGCAAGACCAAAGAGGGGGACCUUCGGGCCUCUUGCCAUCGGAUGUGCCCAGAUGGGAUUAGCUAGUAGGUGGGGUAACGGCUCACCUAGGCGACGAUCCCUAGCUGGUCUGAGAGGAUGACCAGCCACACUGGAACUGAGACACGGUCCAGACUCCUACGGGAGGCAGCAGUGGGGAAUAUUGCACAAUGGGCGCAAGCCUGAUGCAGCCAUGCCGCGUGUAUGAAGAAGGCCUUCGGGUUGUAAAGUACUUUCAGCGGGGAGGAAGGGAGUAAAGUUAAUACCUUGACUCAUUGACGUUACCCGCAGAAGAAGCACCGGCUAACUCCGUG